rnacentral:lncRNA from 1 species
AUUUAUUCACUUUACAAAGAGGGCAGCAUUUAGUUGCAACAGCUCCAUUUAUAGACAAAUAUAUUGUACAUUAUAGUGGUGAAUGGCUCAGACCUUUACCAUGUUUUGCUCUUAAAAAUGUGUUUGUACCUCUUCAGCUUCCAUUAGCUGAGCAAUCAGUUGUCCUUGCUCUGCCACUGAGGUUAAAAAUUGAUAAUAAACGUAUAGCUGUGCGCUAUGUAUUCACAAGUAUCCACCUUCUCAUUUCCCUGUGUUACUCCCCUCUCCCCAUCCACCUCAACAGUCUAUCUUCUGGGUUAGCAUUAAUCUUACAUACAGCCUCAAUUAAAAUGAAAUUAGGGAACAGUGAUAGUUCUAAUGUCUUUUUAAAGCAUGAGAAAAGUCAUUGAUUCUACAUAUAAAAGUCUCAAGUUCAAAUUUGUUUAAAAAAAAAAAAAGCUGUUUUUAAGCCACUUUGGCAUUUAAAUAUUGCCAAGGCAUGGCUGAACCAAUGGAGGAUGGGAAGAAGGAAAGGAAAUUCAUUGGAGAAUUUAAACGUUACAAAAAUAACUUUUCCUUUUUUUUCUUUUCCUGGAAAACAAAAAAAAGCAGCAGGAUGCCCACUUGCUAUUGCUAACUGAAGCAUGGAAAGAAGGUAUAGAUCAGCUGGUUUUGAUCCUUGAACAUUUGAAACAAAUUCAAUGUAAAGCUGAACCAAGUUUACCACACAAACAGCGGUGGCAGAUUUAUUUCACUUGAGAUACAAAUGCAUGUCCACAUGACAGGCAUAAUCUGACCAUGAGAGGUGGAAGAAAUGUUUCUAUAGUAAGCGCAGGGAAAUAGGGCAAGAGAAGGCUGGCGUGGUUAAACAUUCUGGAUUCAGAAAUGCACAGUGCCCCACACGUGCCCCUACACAUAGGCUGUGCAUUAAGUCUGCACCCCCUAUAUGCAAAUAUGGCAUCUUUCAUCAAGAUGAUCCAGAAUUAGAAAGUUCUGGUGGCCCACUUCUUUAAACUGUUAACUUUAUUCUUUUAUGCCGUUAUUCUUCUUCACUUUCAUUUUCUGGUUCCAAAUCAGAAUCACCAUUCAUUUCCUUUUCAACAGUCAUGUCUUGUUCAUCUGAUUGCUCCUCUUUUUCUUCAUCCUCAUCCCAGUUUUCAUCUGAGUCUUUAUCCGCAAUCAUCUCAUCAUCUGAACCUUCCUCCUCUGAGGAUUCAUCCUCAUAUACCAGCUUCGCAGUCUGAUUAACCUCCGUCACAUCCUGAACUGUUUCCGAUGCUGCAACCUGGGUGACGAGAAGGAAGAGUCUUCCAUGUAGACGGGAAAGCUUCUGCAGAGUUUUUACUCUGCUCUCCAUUAACUGGUAUA